AUAAAAGCACUAUAAAGCAGUAGGUAAGUCUAGGUGCUAUUGCUACUGCUAUAGCUAUUGGUCUUAUAAUGGUUAUUUGCUUUUCAAUUGACUCAGUGAUGUACUUGCAUAAGUACAUAUGGAAACAGUAUCUCAGUAUUCAGUCAGUAUCCCAAUUACGUCGACUGAAGUAUUCACAUAUAUGAGUUGUGUGCCUUUUGUAAUAAGCAUCCAGCAUUGACCGUGUACUUGGCAAUGCCUCUAGAACAGAGUUUCUUGAUACAAUGUAUCAUGAGAGACAAAGGAAGCUCCAUAUGAAUAUCAUAAAAAGGUUAUCUUUAAUCCCUGGGUCACAGUUAAAAGAGUUUGGGAAGAUGUUGAGUACCAAACUUAUCAUAUUAUUUCUUAUAGACUGAGAGAUUUAAGAACCCCAUUCCCCCAGUUCAUUUUUUUGGUUAAAUUUAUAUUAUUUUUGUUCAGAAGGUAAAGGUAACAUGCGUAUUGUUCUCUUCUAUUUUUUUUCCAUAACAACAAUCCUGUGAAGCAGGUUGGGCUGACUGGUUCAAAGCCACUUACCCUUUGUUCUUUCUCAUUUUGAAACAAAUCUCAAUGCCAGAAGGAGCCUGGGACAAAUAUCAAGGGACUAUAAGAAACUAGGCAGGAAAGCAAAACCAUUUGGAGUAAAGAUUAUGUUUCCAUCAAUAAAUUCAACUAAAGGUUUUAGCCUAAAGAAGGAAUGAAAGAUUCUAGAUGUGAACAUUAUCGUCAUAAAAAGGUGAACCAUCUACAGGAAGCCAUGCGCCUUGCAAAGACUGGGAAGAAUGGAAGAGAGCUUUAAUUUAAGCUUGGAGGAGGGAGGUCUACAGGAAGACAUGAUACUUGAAGGCUGUCACAGGAAGGAGAAUGUGAAUUUAUUCUUCUUAGUGCCUGAAGGUGGGUCAAGAAUCAGUGAGUGGAAGUUUUACUAGUUUGGAAUAAAUAUGUUGGCGAUUCAAACUGGAAAUAAGGAAUUUCCUGAUCACCUGACUCCUGGAAUCCAGGAGUGUUCUAUCCCUCAAGGUUUUCAAAGAAAGGUUGGACAGCUAUUUAUCUGGAAUAGUCUUGAGGAUUCAUGGCCUAGGCUGUAGGUUGAACAAGAAGAUUUCCAAGGUAACUGCCAAAUAUUUGAUAAAUCAUGUAGUAUGACUUUUGAUUGAGUGUCGAUUUGAAUCUCCUUGGGAGAUUUUAACCACCAUACCCUAUGCUGCCUUGAUAGGAUGAGAACAUUGAUUUAUUAAUUCAUAGAACUUAUGUGAAUAUGUUUGAGUUUUCCAUGGUCCCUUUCUAAUAUAAACUUUAUAUUAACAAUAUUAUUCUCAUAGUCAAGUUGCCUUUUUUUUCUUUAAUUGAGGAAAAGAUCUAAAUUGAUGCAAGAUGGUGAUAGGCACCUAGAUUUUGGGCCAGGGUAAUUGUCAGGUUCCUCCCCACCCACGUCCUGAUGUGCUGCUUCAUCAUGGUAGGGGGUAUUCCUGAAGGUUUAGCCACAAACCUUGGGAGCUUCUGCCUUGAGUACAGUAGAGUCACUCAAAGCCUGAAAGGCUGCCCAGGUAAAAAAAGCAAGCACCUACAUUGAGGAGCAGCAAUCUAAAAAAAAAGAUGCUAGGGGCAGAUUAUCACUUUCAUGACAAUAGAAAAGAAAUCAACUCGUACAACAUAGGAGAAGGCAGUGGAAAAUCACUCCUAUAUUUUUACCAAGAAAACCAUAAGCAAUGAUAUUCUCUAUGGAAGUAAAAGUUGGACUUUGAAGAAGCAGCAUUUGAAGAGUCUUAGUGCUAGUGUUUGAGAAGACUACUGAGAAUAUUAUGGACAACCAAGAAAGCAAAUGGAUUAUUGAAGAAAUCAACCCAGAGUUUCCACUCAAGGCACAGAUGAACAGGCUCAGAUUAUCCUAUGUCAGACAGUAUGCAGAGACCCAUUUCUCUGGAGAAGACUGAUGCUGGGAAAAGUCAAAGGAAAGAGAAGAGUGCCACCAGCAGUAAGGUGGAUGGAUUCAGUUGAGUGAUAAGAGAUGCCAUGUUUGAAGAGCUGAAGGAUCAGGUUAGGGACAGAUUGUCAAGGGGAAAAAAUCUAUAUUGUGCUUGCAAAGAGUAAUAAAAUGACACAAUGACACAUAAUCAAAUUUUCAGGUAUCUCUUUUUUAUCAGAAAAGAAAAAAAGAGAAGAUGAAAAAAAAGAAAGAAAAGAAGAGAAAGAAAGAGAAAUCAAGUCCUGUACAGCUUUCUAAAUAUCUCAAAGAUAAAAAGAAGAACCAUAACUACAGUAUGAUCACAGGAAAGAAAAUAAAGAUGAAAAUAAAGAAGAGUAAAAAGGAUAAAGAGCGAGAUCGGAACCGAGCAGAACUUCUUGAUUUCUUGAACUCUACUUUUUAGUGAAAAAGCUGUUAAAUGAGGACCAAUAAGUGUGUCAGCUUAUUCAGUCAUCUUGCUCCUUUAAAGCACCAAAUACAAGCUCAGGGUGAAGCAUGAAAAAACAUCUUGAUGCAUGAGGAGUUGAAAUUGUCCCACUAUGACGAUAAUUGACAACUCCUUUAAAAGGGUAAAAUAAUUGGUGACAUUUUAUCAACAAAGAGCCAUAUUGAAGUUGAAAAGAACCUAAUCACACUAGGACAAAGGCAUAAUCAUUCAUUAAAAUGAAAGGAUGCGUUGGAAUUUCAGCCUACUGUGAAUAUCCAAAUUGCAUGCAGAAUGCAACUUCACCAUCCGUUGUCCUUGGUCAUUUUAUUGAUUAAAGCCAAAUAAUAGCAGAGAAGUUCUUAAAGAAGAAUCAGACCCGUGUAUAUAGAUAUUUUUAGUAUUGAGAAUAUUUGCAAACAGCAACAUACCUCUUUCUGCGUAGUGUACAUUCUCUAAAGCAUUGAGUAGAUUUUUUAAAAUCAUUUUCUUUUGUAAAGUGUUUUCUUUUUAAAGUUAGUAAAAAAAAACACUAUAAUUUCAGUUUAUUUAAUGAGGUGCUAGGCAUUUAAUUUUGAAACUGGCGUGGUACAACUAUUAAAUGAACAUUAUGAAAUUA